rnacentral:rRNA from 1 species
UGGGGAAUAUUGGACAAUGGGCGAAAGCCUGAUCCAGCCAUGCCGCGUGUGUGAAGAAGGCCUUUUGGUUGUAAAGCACUUUAAGCGAGGAGGAGGCUACUUGGAUUAAUACUCUAGGAUAGUGGACGUUACUCGCAGAAUAAGCACCGGCUAACUCUGUGCCAGCAGCCGCGGUAAUACAGAGGGUGCGAGCGUUAAUCGGAUUUACUGGGCGUAAAGCGUGCGUAGGCGGCUUCUUAAGUCGGAUGUGAAAUCCCUGAGCUUAACUUAGGAAUUGCAUUGGAUACUGGGAAGCUAGAGUAUGGGAGAGGAUGGUAGAAUUCCAGGUGUAACGGUGAAAUGCGUAGAGAUCUGGAGGAAUACCGAUGGCGAAGGCAGCCAUCUGGCCUAAUACUGACGCUGAGGUACGAAAGCAUGGGGAGCAAACAGG